rnacentral:rRNA from 1 species
AACGCGAAGAACCUUACCUGGGCUCGAACGGCUUUAGACAAUCUUUGGAAACAGAGACUUCCCGCAAGGGACUGGAGUCGAGGUGCUGCAUGGCUGUCGUCAGCUCGUGUCGUGAGAUGUUGGGUUAAGUCCCGCAACGAGCGCAACCCUUGUCCUGUGUUGGCAUGCCGCAAGGCGCAACUCUCAGGAGACCGCCAGCGAUAAGUUGGAGGAAGGUGGGGAUGACGUCAAGUCAUCAUGGCCUUUAUGUCCAGGGCCACACACGUGCUACAAUGGGCGGUACAAAGCGCUGCCAACCCGCGAGGGGGAGCUAAUCGCCAAAAACCGUCCUCAGUUCGGAUUGCAGGCUGCAACUCGCCUGCAUGAAGCUGGAAUCGCUAGUAAUGCUAUAUCAGAACGAUAGCGUGAAUACGUUCCCGGGCCUUGUA